CUGGAGGCAGCAGUGAGGAAUAUUGGUCAAUGGGCGCAAGCCUGAACCAGCCAUCCCGCGUGAAGGAAGAAGGCGCUAUGCGUUGUAAACUUCUUUUCCAGGGGAAGAAAAUUUUGUACGAGUACAGAAUUGACGGUACCCUGGGAAUAAGCAUCGGCUAACUCCGUGCCAGCAGCCGCGGUAAUACGGAGGAUGCGAGCGUUAUCCGGAUUUAUUGGGUUUAAAGGGUGCGUAGGCGGAUCAAUAAGUCAGUGGUGAAACCCUGCAGCUUAACUGUAGACUUGCCAUUGAUACUGUUGGUCUUGAGUGUGGUCAAGGUAGGCGGAAUGUGUAAUGUAGCGGUGAAAUGCUUAGAUAUUACACAGAACACCGAUUGCGAAGGCAGCUUGCUGGGCCAUUACUGACGCUGAUGCACGAAAGCGUGGGGAUCGAACAGGAUUAGAAACCCCGGUAGUCCG
rnacentral:rRNA from 1 species